UGGCCUAUUGCUCCUUGGACUGCUGUCUUC
rnacentral:piRNA from 1 species